GGUUGACCUCGGAUCAGGUAGG
rnacentral:rRNA from 25 species